AUUGAACGCUGGCGGCAUGCCUUACACAUGCAAGUCGAACGGCAGCACGGACUUCGGUCUGGUGGCGAGUGGCGAACGGGUGAGUAAUAUAUCGGAACAUGCCCGAGAGUGGGGGAUAACGAGGCGAAAGCUUUGCUAAUACCGCAUACGAUCUCAGGAUGAAAGCAGGGGACCGCAAGGCCUUGCGCUCACGGAGCGGCCGAUGGCAGAUUAGGUAGUUGGUGGGAUAAAAGCUUACCAAGCCGACGAUCUGUAGCUGGUCUGAGAGGACGACCGGCCACACUGGGACUGAGACCCGGCCCAGACUCCUACGGGAGGAAGCAGUGGGGAAUUUUGGACAAUGGGCGCAAGCCUGAUCCAGCCAUGCCGCGUGCAGGAUGAAGGCCUUCGGGUUGUAAACUGCUUUUGUACGGAACGAAAAGACUCCUUCUAAUAAAGGGGGUCCAUGACGGUACCGUAAGAAUAGGCACCGGCUAACUACGUGCCAGCCGCCGCCGUAACAC
rnacentral:rRNA from 1 species